rnacentral:rRNA from 1 species
UACGGAGGGUGCAAGCGUUAUCCGGAUUUACUGGGUUUAAAGGGUGCGUAGGCGGCCAUCUAAGUCAGGAGUGAAAUCCCCAAGCUUAACUUGGGAAGUGCUUUUGAUACUGCAGAGCUUGAAUGUGGGAGAGGUUAAUAGAAUUCCAGGUGUAGUGGUGAAAUACGUAGAUAUCUGGAGGAAUACCGGAGGCGAAGGCGGUUAACUGGCCCAACAUUGACACUGAGACCCGAAAGCGUGGGGAUCAAACAGG